GGGGAUGUAGCUCAGUGGCAUAGCACCUGCCUGGCAAACACAAGGUUGUGAGUUUGAUCCCCACUACCCUCA
rnacentral:tRNA from 1 species